UCCGGAUGGUGUUGCCGGCGUGGCUAGGCCUCUUGUAGGCGCAGACGGCAAGCCUGGACCUGGUACCUGGAGGCCGCGGCAAGGGACGCAUGCAUCCUCCAGGACAUUGUCAACCGGUGGAGCGGGUCGUGGGUGAGGCCGCCAGGAGGAGCAUGAUGCAGUUGUGUAUUAGAUUCUCUGUCCAGGGCUUCUCCCCACCACUGGUCCUUGCUUUCCCCACCGCCGGCUUCUCUGUUUGCUGUUCGGUUGAUGGUGAUACCCGGCCCCUUCUUCUUCCAUCAACUCUCUGUAACGUGUUGCCUUGGUUUGACCUGUAGACUAGGUUGCAUUUUUAUUUUGCCAUUCUCAUGUGUUCACGAAUUAAUUUUCAGUCAUUUCUUUAUGCUUGCAGGCUGCUCCUGCUGUUCUAGAUCGUUGCUCCUCCUGUUCUAGAUCGUUGGAGAUGUUCUUGAUCUGAUGUGCUUAAUCUAAGUGUCGAGGCAUGAACACAUAGUAAUGUGGAUUUUCUGAAAUAUUUAAUUUAUUUUGGCUUGAUUAGCACUUGGAUUUCAAAUGAGGACGGAGUUGUUUUUCUUUUGGCCUUGGUCUAUUUUUUUUGACAUGUUUGGUUGUGACUGCAAUUGCUUUGAUGGACCGGCUAGGAUGUUAAACAAAAUUCUAGGAAUGUAGGCAGCUGUUGAGAUGUGCUACUGCAUAAAAAUAUUGUAUGUUCCAAGCUGUUGAUUUAUCAAGUUUGUUUCUCUAGCUUAUAUGGUGUGGACUAUCUGUCGAUGAAUCUGAACUUUAACACAGACUGUUCGGUUUGCGGCAGUUUCAGGUUGGUGCUCUUACUUGGGCAGUACCACCUACUGGCAGUAGAUUAGUAAUGGAUGGUUACACAUGCGCAGGUCACCUGCUAUCUCAGGUAUUUUCUCCAAAUCCAUUCAUGAAAAUGGGUGUUAGGUAUCUGCGUGUUGUGUACAUUUCUGACUAUGUGAGCAAAUUGUCCCCUGCUACUUCUGUUGGCUCGAACUGUUUGUCCAGCUUCUACUUCUGCCCGUUGUCGAGCCAUUUUCUCUUAACGAGAGCAUGCCGGUUUAGCCUGUGAUUUUUCUGUUGACAUAGACGCUUGGAGGCUUGCAAUUCAUCUUGGCUUAUUGGAUUUCUUUGGUCUUUCUGAAAGGUGAUCGGUCUUAGUAACUCUACUGAUUAAUCUACGGAUCUGCAGGCUGGCUCUGUUUAUUAUCCUUUUUCAGGCUGCUCUUCUUCAGGUUCAGGUCCUACAUCAGACAGUGGGUGCUGUCAUAUUCUCUUUCUUGAUGCACUGGUGGUUCGGAUUUGAAUAUGGGGUACACAUAUAAAUAUGUAUGUUCUUGGAAGGGACUCUAUGCUAUUGAUACUAUACUGCUUAUCAACUUGAUCUCCCACUACGUCCUCAAUGUUCGAGUUGAAUUGUUAAUUAUCAAGUGGCAUACAAGACCUACUGUGAGGGCGAGAUUCAGCACAGAAAAAGAAGUACAGAACCAAUACAGUUUUUCGAUCCAACAAUGCUUAGCCUUCCCUUAAGUUUGUAGUUCUUGCUCUGGAUAUUGGGUUACUAUCGAAGAAAUCUUCUGCUAUUUUGAAUAAAUCGGUUUCAUUGGUUCUAUCCUUGAAUGAUAACUGGCAGGAGAUCAAGGUAUGGAAGAAGACUCUUGAAUUUGUGGGAUAACAUAAGUGAGGGAUCUGUUCAAAUAGCAGAGGAAACUGUAGCGUACAAAAUUCACUAUGAACUGCAUUUAUCUGCAGGAUUAUAAGAUAUUCAGAAGGGGCAAGUGAAAGUAAACUUAAUGUAGUUCCGUAGAUUGUAGGAUAUCCGCUCUAUGUCGGAAAAUCAUUCACACACUAUUUUUCCCUAUCCUGUGUGACCCUUCAAUCCUGAAAAAUUAUUUGUCCUCAACUCCACCCUGGCCAUUUGGCCGUCGGUAAGUACAAGUCCUAAUAGUAUUGUACUAAUGUGCAAAUGUACAAUUUACUGAAUGCCGCGUUUGAUUCCUGCCUAUUGCCCAAUACUUUCUUUUGUUUUUGUUGUGAA